rnacentral:rRNA from 1 species
AUACGGAGGGUGCGAGCGUUAAUCGGAAUUACUGGGCGUAAAGCGUACGUAGGCGGUUGGUUAAGUUAGAUGUGAAAGCCCCGGGCUUAACCUGGGAACUGCAUUUAAAACUGGCGAACUAGAGUUGAGUAGAGGGGAGUGGAAUUUCAGGUGUAGCGGUGAGAUGCGUAGAGAUCUGAAGGAACACCAGUGGCGAAGGCGACUCCCUGGACUCGAACUGACGCUGAGGUACGAAAGCGUGGGUAGCAAACGGGAUUAGAAACCCCGGUAGUCC